rnacentral:rRNA from 1 species
UACGAAGGGGGCUAGCGUUGCUCGGAAUGACUGGGCGUAAAGGGCGCGUAGGCGGGUUGGUAAGUCCGCUGUGAAAGCCCGGAGCUUAACUCCGGAGGGUCGGUGGAUACUGCCAGUCUUGAAGGUGCUAGGGGGAGAUGGAAUUACCGGUGUAGCGGUGAAAUGCGUAGAUAUCGGUAGGAACACCAGUGGCGAAGGCGGUCUCCUGGGGCAUUCUUGACGCUGAGGCGCGAAAGCUGGGGGAGCAAACGGG